GAGUUUGAUCUUGGCUCAGAUUGAACGCUGGCGGCAGGCCUAACACAUGCAAGUCGAGCGGAUGAAGGGAGCUUGCUCCUGGAUUCAGCGGUGGACGGGUGAGUAAUGCCUAGGAAUCUGCCUGGUAGUGGGGAUAACGUCCGGAACGGGCGCUAAUACCGCAUACGUCCUGAGGGAGAAAGUGGGGAGUCUUCGGACCUCACGCUAUCAGAUGAGCCUAGGUCGGAUUAGCUAGUUGGUGGGUAAAGGCCUACCAAGGCGACGAUCCGUAACUGGUCUGAGAGGAUGAUCAGUCACACUGGAACUGAGACACGGUCCAGACUCCUACGGGAGGCAGCAGUGGGGAAUAUUGGACAAUGGGCGAAAGCCUGAUCCAGCCAUGCCGCGUGUGUGAAGAAGGUCUUCGGAUUGUAAAGCACUUUAAGUUGGGAGGAAGGGCAGUAAGUUAAUACCUUGCUGUUUUGCCGUUACCAACAGAAUAAGCACCGGCUAACUUCGUGCCAG
rnacentral:rRNA from 1 species